CAGGCCUAACACAUGCAAGUCGAACGGGGAAAGCUUUCGGGUGAGUACUAGUGGCGCACGGGUGAGGAACGCGUGGAUAAUCUGCCUUAGAGUGGGGGAUAACUAGUCGAAAGAUUAGCUAAUACCGCAUAAGACCACAGGAGCUGCGGCUCAAGGGGUCAAAGGUUUUUCGCUCUAAGAUGAGUCCGCGUAAGAUUAGCUAGUUGGUGAGGUAACGGCUCACCAAGGCGACGAUCUUUAACUGGUCUGAGAGGAUGAUCAGUCACACUGGAACUGAGACACGGUCCAGACUCCUACGGGAGGCAGCAGUAGGGAAUAUUGCACAAUGGAGGAAACUCUGAUGCAGCGACGCCGCGUGAGUGAUGAAGGCCUUCGGGUCGUAAAGCUCUGUCGCAGGGGAAUAACACAAUGAAUGUACCCUGUAAGAAAGGAUCGGCUAACUUCGUGCCAGCAGCCGCGGUAAGACGAGGGAUCCUAGCGUUGUUCGGAAUUAUUGGGCGUAAAGCGGAUGUAGGUGGCUUUGUAAGUCAGAUGUGAAAGCCCAGGGCUCAACCCUGGAAGUGCAUUUGAUACUGCGAAGCUUGAGUGUCGGAGAGGUUACUAGAAUUGUUGGUGUAGUGGUGAAAUACGUAGAUAUCAACAGGAAUACCGGAGGCGAAGGCGGGUAACUGGCCGAACACUGACACUGAGAUCCGAAAGCGUGGGGAUCAAAACAGGAUUAGAUACCCUGGUAGUCCACGCCGUAAACGAUGGAUACUUGUUUGUUGGAGGUAUUGACCCCUUCAGUGACG
rnacentral:rRNA from 1 species